rnacentral:lncRNA from 1 species
UAAGGAUGUCAAGUUCAAUCCAUUUCUUAACUAUAAGCUACCGUUUGGUUCAGGGUUAACGAAAAACUAGUUAUUCCAGGGAUAGGGUUAAGUUCAGGGUUAAGGUGAGGUUAAAGUAUUUUUGUGUUUGGUUGGGGGUUAAAGUUAGUCCAGGAUAGUGAAAAAUAGUGUUUGGUUGGAGUAGGUGGAAUAAGAAGGAUAGUGGUUGGUAAAGUGAUAAAAAGACGAAAAUACCCUCACAUUAAUGUAUUGAAAUAAAAGUUUUUUUUUGUUUUUAAAAUUCAAUACUUGCAAAUAAUUGUGAGGAUUAAAAUUGAAUAAAUUUUAGCGUAAUUUUGUA